rnacentral:rRNA from 1 species
AUACGUAGGUGACAAGCGUUAUCCGGAUUUAUUGGGUUUAAAGGGUGCGUAGGCGGUUUGCUAAGCGGGAGGUGAAAUGCCGGCGCUCAACGUCGGAAGUGCCUCCCGAACUGGUGGACUUGAAUGACUCUGCCGUGGGAGGAAUGUGUAGUGUAGCGGUGAAAUGCUUAGAGAUUACACAGAACACCGAUUGCGAAGGCAUCUCACGAAGGGUCGAUUGACGCUGAGGCACGAAAGCGUGGGGAUCAAACAGGAUUAGAUACCCUGGUAGUCCACGCAGUAAACGAUGAUGGCUAACCGCUGGGCUUAUCAGUUCAGUGGCCAAGCGAAAGCGAUAAGCCAUCCACCUGGGGAGUACGACCGCAAGGUUGAAACUCAAAUGAAUUGACGGGG